rnacentral:rRNA from 1 species
UACGUAGGCAGCGAGCGUUGUUCGGAGUUACUGGGCGUAAAGGGUGCGUAGGCGGUUUUCCAAGUUUGGUGUGAAAUCUCCCGCUUAACUGGGAGGGUGCGCCGAAAACUAGGAGACUUGAGUACCGGAGAGGUAAGCGGAAUUCCUGGUGUAGCGGUGAAAUGCGUAGAUAUCUGGAGGAACACCGGUGGCGAAGGCGGCCAACUGGCCCGACCCUGACGUUGAG